AAAAUAUUCUUUCUGACGUUCGGAUAUUGGGCGUAAAGAGCUCGUAGGCGGUUUGUCGCGUCUGCUGUGAAAGACCGGGGCUCAACUCCGGUUCUGCAGUGGGUACGGGCAGACUAGAGUGCAGUAGGGGAGACUGGAAUUCCUGGUGUAGCGGUGAAAUGCGCAGAUAUCAGGAGGAACACCGAUGGCGAAGGCAGGUCUCUGGGCUGUAACUGACGCUGAGGAGCGAAAGCAUGGGGAGCGAACAGGAUUAGAUACCCUGGUAGUCCAUGCCGUAAACGUUGGGCACUAGGUGUGGGGGACAUUCCACGUUUUCCGCGCCGUAGCUAACGCAUUAAGUGCCCCGCCUGGGGAGUACGGCCGCAAGGCUAAAACUCAAAGGAAUUGACGGGGGCCCGCACAAGCGGCGGAGCAUGCGGAUUAAUUCGAUGCAACGCGAAGAACCUUACCAAGGCUUGACAUGAACCGGAAAGACCUGGAAACAGGUGCCCCGCUUGCGGUCGGUUUACAGGUGGUGCAUGGUUGUCGUCAGCUCGUGUCGUGAGAUGUUGGGUUAAGUCCCGCAACGAGCGCAACCCUCGUUCUAUGUUGCCAGCGCGUGAUGGCGGGGACUCAUAGGAGACUGCCGGGGUCAACUCGGAGGAAGGUGGGGACGACGUCAAAUCAUCAUGCCCCUUAUGUCUUGGGCUUCACGCAUGCUACAAUGGCCGGUACAAAGGGUUGCGAUACUGUGAGGUGGAGCUAAUCCCAAAAAGCCGGUCUCAGUUCGGAUUGGGGUCUGCAACUCGACCCCAUGAAGUCGGAGUCGCUAGUAAUCGCAGAUCAGCAACGCUGCGGUGAAUACGUUCCCGGGCCUUGUACACACCGCCCGUCAAGUCACGAAAGUUGGUAACACCCGAAGCCGGUGGCCUAACCCUUGUGGGGGGAGCCGUCGAAGGUGGGAUCGGCGAUUGGGACUAAGUCGUACCAAAGGUAUACACA
rnacentral:rRNA from 1 species